rnacentral:rRNA from 1 species
UACAGAGGUCUCAAGCGUUGUUCGGAUUCAUUGGGCGUAAAGGGUGCGUAGGCGGCGCGGUAAGUCGGGUGUGAAAUCUCGGAGCUUAACUCCGAAACUGCAUUCGAUACUGCUGUGCUUGAGGACUGGAGAGGAGACUGGAAUUUACGGUGUAGCGGUGAAAUGCGUAGAUAUCAGGAGGAACACCAAUGGCGAAGGCAGCUCGCUGGGACGUGACUGACGCUGAGACGCGAAAGCGUGGGGAGCAAACAGG